UUUGAGGGGAAUGUUGUCUGGCUCGAGGUGCGCAGAAACCUGGAGAGAUCUCACAGAUCUAACCAGGUUGAUCUCGGACCAGGCUUCAUUCCCCUCAAG
rnacentral:pre_miRNA from 1 species